rnacentral:sRNA from 1 species
GCUGUGGCCAGAGGAGGCCGCGGUUAGAAAGCCUCAGCCUUGACAGCCGCCACGGCGUAUCGCUAGGCCGCGACUGGUCCGCCGCGCGUGGGCGCAGCUCCCCAAGGGCAUUGUGGGUAAGGCGGCCGCGGGCCUCUGCUUCCCGGGCAGCCCUGGUGGUGGCAAAGGCAGGAUUCCGGAGAGGUGGCCCGUCCCGAGAGACGCCUGGUUUCUCCUCCGGCGUCCCCCCGUUGGCCUGCUCUGGUUUUCUCUUAGGAGUCCAUGCUUCCAGAUUACAGUCUUGUGCCAACCUUAAGACCUACAUGUAAUGAUCAACAACCAGAGCACAAAGGAUCCCCUCAAAGGGCUAACUCAGAACACCGAUGAGAAGCUGCAAUCAACUGAAGUGAUAGAGGUUUUCAAAGACACGUUUUGUAAUGUCGUGCUUAUUUUACCAGCGUUAAAAUGAAAGUAUAGAGAGUUUUUCACUUGACCUGGC